AUACGUAGGUGGCAAGCGUUGUCCGGAAUUAUUGGGCGUAAAGCGCGCGCAGGUGGUUCCUUAAGUCUGAUGUGAAAGCCCCCGGCUCAACCGGGGAGGGUCAUUGGAAACUGGGGAACUUGAGUGCAGAAGAGGAUAGUGGAAUUCCAAGUGUAGCGGUGAAAUGCGUAGAGAUUUGGAGGAACACCAGUGGCGAAGGCGGCUGGCUGGUCUGUAACUGACGCUGGGGCGCGAAAGCGGGGGGAGCAAACAGGAUUAGAUACCCUGGUAGUCCACGCCGUAAACGAUGAGUGCUAAGUGUUGGGGGGUUUCCGCCCCUCAGUGCUGCAGCUAACGCAUUAAGCACUCCGCCUGGGGAGUACGGUCGCAAGACUGAAACUCAAAUGAAUUGACGGGG
rnacentral:rRNA from 1 species